CUAAUACCGCAUAAGCGCACAGGACCGCAUGGUGUAGUGUGAAAAACUCCGGUGGUAUGAGAUGGACCCGCGUCUGAUUAGGUAGUUGGUGGGGUAACGGCCUACCAAGCCGACGAUCAGUAGCCGACCUGAGAGGGUGACCGGCCACAUUGGGACUGAGACACGGCCCAAACUCCUACGGGAGGCAGCAGUGGGGAAUAUUGCACAAUGGGGGAAACCCUGAUGCAGCGACGCCGCGUGAAGGAAGAAGUAUUUCGGUAUGUAAACUUCUAUCAGCAGGGAAGAAAAUGACGGUACCUGAGUAAGAAGCACCGGCUAAAUACGUGCCAGCAGCCGCGGUAAUACGUAUGGUGCAAGCGUUAUCCGGAUUUACUGGGUGUAAAGGGAGCGUAGACGGAUAGGCAAGUCUGGAGUGAAAACCCAGGGCUCAACCCUGGGACUGCUUUGGAAACUGCAGAUCUGGAGUGCCGGAGAGGUAAGCGGAAUUCCUAGUGUAGCGGUGAAAUGCGUAGAUAUUAGGAGGAACACCAGUGGCGAAGGCGGCUUACUGGACGGUGACUGACGUUGAGGCUCGAAAGCGUGGGGAGCAAACAGGAUUAGAUACCCUGGUAGUCCACGCCGUAAAC
rnacentral:rRNA from 1 species